AGAGUUUGAUCCUGGCUCAGAACGUACGCUGGCGGCACGCCUAACACAUGCAAGUCGAACGAAGUAGCAAUACUUAGUGGCAGACGGGUGAGUAACAUGUAGGUAUCUGCCCUUUGGCCUGGAAUAACACGAGGAAACUUGUGCUAAUACCGGAUAAGUCUUUACGGAGAAAGCUUUAUGCACCAUUGGAUGAGCCUGCACUUGAUUAGUUUGUUGGUGGGGUAAUGGCCUACCAAGACUGUGAUCAAUAGCUGAUUUGAGAGGAUGAUCAGCCACAUUGGGACUGAGACACGGCCCAAACUCCUACGGGAGGCAGCAGUGGGGAAUCUUGCACAAUGGAGGAGACUCUGAUGCAGCGAUGCCGCGUGAGUGAAGAAGGCCUUUGGGUUGUAAAGCUCUUUCGUCGGGGAAGAAAAUGACUGUACCCGAAUAAGAAGGUCCGGCUAACUUCGUGCCAGCAGCCGCGGUAAUACGAAGGGACCUAGCGUAGUUCGGAAUUACUGGGCUUAAAGAGUUCGUAGGUGGUUGAAAAAGUUGGUGGUGAAAUCCCAGAGCUUAACUCUGGAACUGCCAUCAAAACUUUUCAGCUAGAGUGUGAUAGAGGAAAGCAGAAUUUCUAGUGUAGAGGUGAAAUUCGUAGAUAUUAGAAAGAAUACCAAUUGCGAAGGCAGCUUUCUGGAUCAUUACUGACACUGAGGAACGAAAGCAUGGGUAGCGAAGAGGAUUAGAUACCCUCGUAGUCCAUGCCGUAAACGAUGUGUGUUAGACGUUGGAAAUUUAUUUUCAGUGUCGCAGCGAAAGCGAUAAACACACCGCCUGGGGAGUACGACCGCAAGGUUAAAACUCAAAUGAAUUGACGGGGACCCGCACAAGUAGUGGAGCAUGUGGUUUAAUUCGAAGAUACGCGCAGAACCUUACCAACACUUGACAUGUUCGUCGCGACUUUAAGAGAUUAAAGUUUUCGGUUCGGCCGGACGAAACACAGGUGCUGCAUGGCUGUCGUCAGCUCGUGUCGUGAGAUGUUGGGUUAAGUCCCGCAACGAGCGCAACCCUCACUUUUAGUUGCCAUCAUUAAGUUGGGCACUCUGAAAGAACUGCCAGUGAUAAGCUGGAGGAAGGUGGGGAUGACGUCAAGUCCUCAUGGCCCUUACGUGUUGGGCUACACACGUGCUACAAUGGUAUCUACAACAGGAAGCGAAACUGCGAAGUUUAGCAAAUCCUUAAAAGAUACCUCAGUUCGGAUUGCACUCUGCAACUCGAGUGCAUGAAGCUGGAAUUACUAGUAAUCGUGGAUCAGCGUGCCACGGUGAAUGCGUUCCCGGGUCUUGUACACACCGCCCGUCACACCAUGGGAGUUGGUUCUACCUUAAGGCAAGGUUUUAAACCCUUGACCACGGUAUAGUCAGCGACUGGGGUGAAGUCGUAACAAGGUAACC
rnacentral:rRNA from 1 species